rnacentral:lncRNA from 1 species
UGGGAUGAGCAGGAAAAUUAGGAUUCUUAUCUAAAAGGUAACAAUGGUAUUCAUCUAGGUAAGUAGGAGCCUUAGACUGACGUUUGGGUCUAGGAUUAGAAUCUAUCCUUCCUGAUGGUACUGAUUCAGUAUUGGAACAAGAAAGAUGAGAAGAUGAUGAAUGAACAGGUGAGGAAUGUGUUAAAGAAUCACUCUGUUCAGAAGGAGAAUAAACAGGAGGAAUAGGUUCAUGUAGAUGAAAUGGAAAGGAAGAUCUAUCAGGAAAAAUAGGAUCAGGCGCAAUGUCAAAAGAAGCUGAAAAUAGAGAAUCUGGAACUGGCAAG